rnacentral:misc_RNA from 1 species
GAUGAAGAACGUAGUGAAAUGCGAUAAGUAAUGUGAAUUGCAGAAUUCAGUGAAUCAUCGAAUCUUUGAACGCACAUUGCGCCCCUUGGUAUUCCGAGGGGCAUGCCUGUUCGAGCGUCAUAUUAACCACUCCCGCUUGCGGGGUCUUGGGCUUCGCCUCCGGGCGGGCCUUAAAAUCAGUGGCGGUGCCGUCGGGCUCUACGCGUAGUAAAUUUUCUCGCGAUAGGGUCCCGGUGGAUGCUUGCCAACAACCCCCAACUUCUUAAGGUUGACCUCGGAUCAGGUAGGGAUACCCGCUGAACUUAAGCAUACAAUAGCGGAGGA